rnacentral:rRNA from 1 species
CCUACGGGUGGCAGCAGUGAGGAAUAUUGGUCAAUGGACGCAAGGCUGAACCAGCCAAGUAGCGUGAGGGACGACUGCCCUCUGGGUUGUAAACUACUUUUAUAUGGGAAUAAUAAAUGCUACGUGUGGCAUGAUGCCUGUACCUUAUGAAUAAGCAUCGGCUAACUCCGUGCCAGCAGCCGCGGUAAUACGGAGGAUGCGAGCGUUAUCCGCAUUUAUUGGGUUUUAAGGGUGCGUAGGCGGUUUUUUUAGUUAGUGGUUAAACGUCGGGGCUUCACCUUGAUUUGCCAUUAAUACUGUAAGACUCGAGUUCAGACGAGGUAGGCGGAAUAAGUUAAGUAGCGGUGAAAUGCUUAGAUAUAACUUAGAACUCCGAUAGCGAAGGCAGCUUACCAGACUGCGACUGACGCUGAAGCACGAGAGCGUGGGUAGCGAACAGGAUUAGAUACCCUGGUAGUC